UUAAAGAAGACUGGUUAUCUAUUAGUCUUUGGUAUUCUAAACACGCGGGUGUGGACUCCCCACCUGGCUGUGGCUUGCCUGAAUUGUAACCAAGAUUGUCCCAAUUAGGUUGCCUAAAUGCCUGACAGAUUAUGCUUUUUGGCAGUUCAACCAGAAGCCCAGUGCUUAGGCCAGAAUAAUAAUAGUGUUGUAAAUUCAUAAAGGACAGAACUGACAUCUAAGAAUGUAACAGUAAUGUGCAGUGAGUGCUUUAAAUAUGAACUUAACAAAAAUAUAUAUUCAGAAAUGAGCUUGAUCCUUUGAAAGAUCAUUAGGGAAACAAUGCAAAUCUAAAGCAUUUUUAAAACUCCUUAAAAAGAAAAAGUCUUUCAGGAAUAGUUUCAGUUGUAAAUGCAGACAUUCUUUUUUUUUUCCUUGACAUUUUCCAUUUUUGAUCAAAAUUCAUUUAUUAGAGUGGAAAAAGAAAUUACAGGAUUUAGAGUCACAGACCUGGGUCAGAUCCAACCUUUGGUACAUUCUGGGUUUAUGACGUUGGAAAGCACUUGAGUUUUCAUUUACUUAUCUAAAAACUGGAGAAAUUGUAACACCCUUUAAAAAUAUGCAUGCCUUGAAUUCAGUAAUUCUACUUCUAGGAAAUUGACUGAAGGAAAUGAUCAUAGAAAUCUACAAAGACUUAUCUAUGAAGAGGGUGCAUCUGAACCACUGAAAUAUUUGAAUUCUUUGAGUCGAUUAUGACGUAUCCACAUACGAGAAUACCAACCAGAAAUGGGGACUCAGAGAAAAAGAAAGAGGAAUCUACCCACUUUUCAGUCAACUUACCCAAUGGGAGAAGACACACCUUCCCAUGUGGAUCUUGUAGAAGCUUCUGGAGGGGUCAGUCCCAGGAGGUGGGAGAGUUGACACCAUGAUCCAGGGCUCCUUUGAGAUAUUUUUUUGUUUGCUUGUUUGUUUUUGCUUCUCUCAGAUUCCUGAAAAGUCUUAGUUUCCCAUCUUUGUCAGUUGGAUACCUGGUACCUUUGGUCUUUAAGGACCCAGAUGUCCUCUCCUUUUUACAGAUGGAGAGAUGAAGGCUAGUUUAGACAACGCAUACAGGACUGGCAAAACCAUAUUAGACUUUUGGUAUGGUUAAUUGUUCCCAUGAAAGUCUUACAUUUUGCAUUGUUUUCAAGUCACUGCCAAGACUGAGGAAAAUGACAAGGAUGGUUUUGUAAGUGUAAUGAAAAUAUGCGUGGAGAACAUCACAGACAGAUUGUCCUGUGUAGUGUUUAGGUAGGGCCCAAGGUCCAAUUUGGGGAGCUUCCAUGAGGACGUGGGGAAAAACAUGUCAACCCUGACAGAAGCAGUUGCUGACUGAGCAAAAAUGUUCUCCUCUCUACUCCCUAAAGCUUCCUAACUCUCAUCGGUCUGCUUUUAACCAGAGCCUUGGGGCACCCCACCUGAAGACUCACAUUUUCUCUGGUCCCCGGGGAAGACACCAGUUUGCUCAGUGACAGUGUGCCAAACAGGGGAAAAAAAAAAAAGAAAAAAAAAAAAAGAAGAAGAAGAGCUUCAGCAACUGCGAACCAGGAAAUUUUUUGUUUGUUUGUUUGUUUUAAAACAAGAUUUGCCAAUCUCGCCAAGAAAUUUUGUCUAAGUUACAGCCUGGCAGCCUUUCUAAUCGCUCAUCGUUCUUUUUCUGAAUCCUGCAUUUUCAUGGAGGGGAGAUAAUCUUUGGCAUUAUCCUCAUUGGCUUGGCUUAGCUCUCAGUCCCUUGGGGUCCUGUUGCCUCUAGAAACUUUCAACUUCUAAAUCCAGUGCUGGCUCACCCAGGAAAGGAACAGGCAAAUUGAACAAUAAAAUUCAAGCCGUAGCUUCCGUUGUGACUCAAGAGCAGAAAAUGUUUUUAAUGUCCAAGAGCACAUAAGUGGCAUUAAUCAUCAAGAAUUUAUUAUUUCUCAUUGGGGGCCCCAAAGAAACACCAUUUUGCCCAACUCCAUUAUUAUCUGGGAUUUGAAAAGCUUUUCAAAACUAGUUGCCUGAUUGGAUAUUUACCUAAGGUUGAGCGUUUCAGAAGUUCUUUCAUAGAAAUUAUAUAUGCCCCAAAAGAGAAAAUAGUGUUUUUUUCUUCCUUUCUUUUCUUUUUCAUUUCUCCCUUGUGUUUCUCUUCCUUUCUUUAGUGACCCUUGCUGUGUCAGCCUUUCUAUGCAUGAUCAGUUUGCUGUGAUCUAUGGAGAACUCCCACCUCAGGAAUUUGAAGCCCGUGGUAAGUCUUUUUGUUUUUUGAGUCUAGGCUAUAGAUUACUUUUGUUUUGAGAAAACCUUAGGGGCUUGUAAUAUAGUCACAAUUUUUUAUUCUUUGAACUGCAUAAAUAAAUUAGACCACUUUGUGGUGGAAAGAUUUUUGCAAGCAUAAGCUCAGGAUACUUUUCUAUUGUAUCUCUGAAAUAUUAAGUAUUUUUGGGUGUUCACACAAAAGUUGAUAGGAUCGAUCCUUCCUUCCUUCCUUCCUUCCUUCCUUCCUUCCUUCUUUCUUCCUCUUCUUUUUUCUUUCUUUUUUUUUCUUUCUUUCUUUCUUUCUUUCUUUCUUUCUUUUUCUUUCUUUCUUUCUUUCUUUCUUUCUUUCUUUCUUUCUUUCUUUCUUUCUUUCCUUUUUCUUCUGACCUUCCUAGUGCAGUAAAUAAACAUUGAAAGAAUGUUAUAAAUUCAUCUGUUGGUAAUCCUUAAACUGCAUUAGAAUAAUUGAUUUGGGGAACCUAGAUAAAUAUUUAUCAUAACAAACCCACGUUUCUCAUUUCAUGUGGAAGGGAGCUGCAUUUUCCUUCAUGCACAGGGAUCAUAUGAAAAGCUUAUGUUAGAAGAUAGAAGCUUCAAAUCCAUUCUCUGGUCUUGGGGGACAUAACUUCUUGAGAUAGCUAGACUACA
rnacentral:lncRNA from 1 species